rnacentral:rRNA from 1 species
UACGUAGGGGGCAAGCGUUGUUCGGAUUUAUUGGGCGUAAAGAGCUCGUAGGCGGUUUGGUGAGUCGGGUGUGAAAUCUCCACGCUCAACGUGGAGGGGCCACCCGAUACUGCCAUGACUGGAGUCCGGUAGAGGAGUGUGGAAUUCCCGGUGUAGCGGUGAAAUGCGCAGAUAUCGGGAGGAACACCGGUGGCGAAGGCGGUUCUCUGGGCCUGUACUGACGCUGAGGAGCGAAAGCGUGGGGAGCGAACAGG